UAUUAAGCUCUGAAAAAAGACAAACAAGGAGCUCGUCGGUGACUUGUUGACUGAAAGGUCAAAGGUCUCUAACGACGAUAAACAUGAAACAAACCCGGGAGGAAUCAAACCAGUGAGAUUGUUUGAAGAUAGAUCGAGAUUCGCACAAUAGUUGGAGACAAAUCGUCGACGCUAGUCGCCGAAAUCUCGUCGUGGAAUUGUUGCCGGGGCGACAAGAACUUCAACUUCUUCUUCCACAAAUGUCGGUGUUUCAGCCAGAGACGUUAAACAACGCGAGGCUCUCGCAUCAAUAGAGGAGAGUGUCAAGAUCGUCGGAGAUUUUGUUGCCGGAGACAUCGAGGUGGAAAAGAGAUGGAAGAGGAAGAAAGGAUACAUAUGAGAUGAACGGUGU
rnacentral:lncRNA from 1 species